UACGGGGGGGGCAAGCGUUGUUCGGAAUUACUGGGCGUAAAGGGCUCGUAGGCGCCAACUAAGUCAUACGUGAAAUCCCUCGGCUUAACCGGGGAACUGCGUCUGAUACUGGAUGGCUUGAGAUUGGGAGAGGGAUGCGGAAUUCCUGGUGUAGCGGUGAAAUGCGCAGAUAUCAGGAGGAACACCGGUGGGCGAAGGCGGGUCUCUGGGCCGAUACUGACGCUGGAGGAGCGGAAAGCGUGGGGAGCAAACAGG
rnacentral:rRNA from 1 species